UACAAUUCAACAUCAUUUGAGUUAUAUGAUUAUUUUUCUUAGAAGGAUGUCGUCUUUCUAAAUGUUUUCUAAGAUGAGUAGUGCCAUCCUUUGGUUUGGCAACAAACAUAGAUUUACAAUGCAAGCAUCUAGCUUUGCGAACAUCACCGACCAUAAAUGAAUCAAAAUCUUUCCAAACAUCGGACUUUAAUUUGCUCUUUAAGUCACUAACAUCUUGCUUUUCUUGACAUGAACUAAAAUAAAAAAAUUUGUAGAGUUGUAUUUGUAUACUUAUAUAAUUGUAGAAUUGUUAUUUGUAUAAUAAGUAAUAAAUCAAUUGUACCUUGGAGUGACCGGAGUCGUUGUCGUUGUUUCUUCCGUUUGUGUUGGAGUAUCCAUUAGUGUGUGUAUCCAUAAGCAAACUGAAAUACAUAAUAAUUAAAAGUUAAUACUAAAUAAUUACAUAAAUACGUAUUGAAAUAAAUGAAUAAACACAAUUGAAUAAACAAAAUAAUGUCUAUUACAAUCAGCAAGAUAGCAACUCAAUAAUGUCAUAUUACUUUGUAAUUAAUUUAACUAUAGUCAAAAUAGUAAAUAAUUUAUCAGUCAUCAAUUCAUUAUCAACUAUCAACUAUCAAAUUUAAUCAAGUUUUUAAUUUAAAAUGAUUCUAAUUUCCAUGUGGACAUUUGGUAAGGUAUAUAUGUAUAAGCAUUAUAAUUUCAAGUUUCCAAUCUCACUUUAAUAAAACGCAAACUAUAGGCAGUAAUCUAGUAUAGUGGGCAGUAAUUUCAAGUUUCCAUGUGGAAAUAUUUGGGGACGAUGAUUUGGGUCAAUGUGGUUUUACAUAUGUUUGUGAGAUUUAAAACAUUCUAAGAUUUAAAGGGCGAGACGAAAAAGGAAAGUGGAGAUCGUAGGUGGAUUUGCGUAUCGAACCAAAGAGAUUAGUCGGUUUAUUAUAGACCUAUUAAUUUGAAACAUUUAAAUCAUUUAAAACAUUCUAAGAUUUGGGUCUUACCUGAUCAAAAUCUCCCCUAGGUUACAGUGAACUGCUGCCCGUCAAUGAACUCCUCGGUGUUGGCAAGUUGGAGGAGAUAUUAGGUUU
rnacentral:lncRNA from 1 species